rnacentral:rRNA from 1 species
GGACGACGCUGGCGGCGCGCCUAACACAUGCAAGUCGAACGAGCGGAUUUCCUUCGGGGAAGAAGCUAGUGGCGGACGGGUGAGUAACACGUGAGGAACCUGCCUUACAGAGUGGGAUACCGUUUGGAAACGAACGUUAAUACCGCAUAACGUAUUGAAAUCGCAUGGUUUUGAUACCAAAGAUUUAUCGCUGUAAGAUGGCCUCGCGUCUGAUUAGAUAGUUGGUGAGGUAACGGCCCACCAAGUCGACGAUCAGUAGCCGGACUGAGAGGUUGAUCGGCCACAUUGGGACUGAGACACGGCCCAGACUCCUACGGGAGGCAGCAGUGGGGGAUAUUGCACAAUGGGCGAAAGCCUGAUGCAGCGACGCCGCGUGAGGGAAGACGGUUUUCGGAUUGUAAACCUCUGUCUUCGGGGACGAAUGUUGAGACCUAGAACAUAGGUUUCAAAUGACGGUACCUGACGAGGAAGCCACGGCUAACUACGUG